GAAGGCCAUGUUUCCUGAGUGACAGGGAUUUGAGCGGGAUCGGGGCUGGGCUUUUCAUAUUCUCAAUAACACUGUUUUCUUUGUCUUUGUUUAUGUUACAUCAGGUGCACCGAAGAGUGUCUGGAGCCCUAUGAUACUAGAAAUGCUUUUUAAAUGGACCAAGAACAGAUUUUACCUGGACCUGUAAACCUGAUCCAUGACUGCAGAGCAAGGGCAGGCAGACUGCCGAGACUGACAGAGCUUUUUUAUUUUUAAAUUAUAGUGACACAGCAUAUAGAGAAAUCUACCGAACAUCCCUGCCCAUGUAUGUGCAAUCUCCUGGGCAGCUAAACAGAAAUAAUUUAAAAUAGAUUGUAUUCUCAAUCCUCUGUCAAGCUGUAUUUGAGAUCUUUGAGGCACACAUGAAGACACCUCCCCUUAGGAUGCACCAUGGGGACACUUGCUGCACAGUUGAAUAUUAAGGGUGUGGAGAAGGCUAGGCGAAGGCUGUCAGAAGAUAUGGACGCACACCUGUUGAACACAGAGGUGUUGAGCCAGUAGGUAAAGAAGCAGGGAUUAGUUCUCUACCUCAACUGAGAGACUUCCUCUGUGCAUACAGAUGGUCUUUAUCUGGAGUCUCACUGCUCAAUGCUCCUGCUACAGGCCAGCACAAGAAAGAUGUCCUCACCGGUGAAAAGGAAGCAAGUUAAUAUACCCUCAAGCACCUCAGAUGCACUGUGCAAUUGAUUGCUAACAUUAAAGUCAAAUACAAAGUUGAAACCAGCACACAUUUACAGGAAAGCCAACUGAAAUUUAAUAAAAUGAUAUAAAGCCUG